rnacentral:rRNA from 1 species
AACGAACGCUGGCGGCAUGCCUAACACAUGCAAGUCGAACGAGACCUUCGGGUCUAGUGGCGCACGGGUGCGUAACGCGUGGGAACCUGCCCUUAGGUUCGGAAUAACUCCCCGAAAGGGGUGCUAAUACCGGAUAAUGUCUUCGGACCAAAGAUUUAUCGCCUUUGGGUGGGCCCGCGUUGGAUUAGCUAGUUGGUAGGGUAAAAGCCUACCAAGGCGACGAUCCAUAGCUGGUCUGAGAGGAUGAUCAGCCACACUGGGACUGAGACACGGCCCAGACUCCUACGGGAGGCAGCAGUGGGGAAUAUUGGACAAUGGGCGAAAGCCCGAUCCAGCAAUGCCGCGUGAGUGAUGAAGGCCUUAGGGUUGUAAAGCUCUUUUACCCGGGAUGAUAAUGACAGUACCGGGAGAAUAAGCUCCGGCUAACUCCGUG